rnacentral:rRNA from 1 species
AUUGAACGCUGGCGGCAUGCCUUACACAUGCAAGUCGAACGGUAACAGGUCUUCAGAUGCUGACGAGUGGCGAACGGGUGAGUAAUACAUCGGAACGUGCCCGAUCGUGGGGGAUAACGGAGCGAAAGCUUUGCUAAUACCGCAUACGAUCUACGGAUGAAAGCAGGGGACCGCGAGGCCUUGCGCGGACGGAGCGGCCGAUGGCAGAUUAGGUAGUUGGUGGGAUAAAAGCUUACCAAGCCGACGAUCUGUAGCUGGUCUGAGAGGACGACCAGCCGCACUGGGACUGAGACACGGCCCAGACUCCUACGGGAGGCAGCAGUGGGGAAUUUUGGACAAUGGGCACAAGCCUGAUCCAGCCAUGCCGCGUGCAGGAUGAAGGCCUUCGGGUUGUAAACUGCUUUUGUACGGAACGAAAAGACUCUGGUUAAUACCUGGGGUCCAUGACGGUACCGUAAGAAUAAGCACCGGCUAACUACGUGCCAGCCGCCGCCGUAAUAC